AACGAACGCUGGCGGCAGGCUUAACACAUGCAAGUCGAACGCAUCCUUCGGGGUGAGUGGCAGACGGGUGAGUAACGCGUGGGAACGUGCCCUUCAGUUCGGGAUAACCCAGGGAAACUUGGGCUAAUACCGGAUACGUGCGAGAGCAGAAAGAUUUAUCGCUGAAGGAUCGGCCCGCGUCUGAUUAGCUAGUUGGUGGGGUAAUGGCCCACCAAGGCGACGAUCAGUAGCUGGUCUGAGAGGAUGAUCAGCCACAUUGGGGCUGAGACACGGCCCAAACUCCUACGGGAGGCAGCAGUGGGGAAUAUGGGACAAAGGGCGCAAGCCUGAUCCAGCCAUGCCGCGUGAGUGAUGAAGGCCUUAGGGUUGUAAAGCUCUUUCGUCCGGGACGAUAAUGACGGUACCGGAAGAAGAAGCCCCGGCUAACUUCGUGCCAGCCGCCGCCGUAA
rnacentral:rRNA from 1 species